rnacentral:lncRNA from 1 species
AUCCACUGACCUGCACUUCAAUGUCAGGUGAGAAACUCUGUGAAGUAAAUCAUUCGAAUUUGGGAGUUGUUGGUUUUAGCAGUUUUCACACCCUGUUAUUUCUCAUUGAAUAAUUCGUUGUGAUAAUUAUUAUCUCUGAUUUGGACCCUGCUUAUCUGCUGCUGUUCCCAAGAGACUGAACAGUUUUGAAGAAAUUAUUUAACCCUAUUGAAUAAUGCCUCAAUUGGGCUCCCACUGUUACCAUGGAAUCCUUCUGAGUCAUGUGGUCUGAGUCAUGAGUGAUUCUCGUUCCUUUCUUGGCCCAUUUUAAAGAUUCAUCUUUCUCCUUAGGCUCUUCCUACUCUCAGCAGAUGAAUUAACCGUCUUGUCUUUAGUUAAGUACUUUUUCAAGAAUUAUGUCUGUUUUUUGAUUGUUCUAUUCUUACUAGUUUAAGUAGUUCUUUAUGUAUUAGAGAUGUUAAGAGCAUUAUGGAUAUGAUAUAAAAUGACUAAAAUUUUAAAAUACCAACUAUACCAAAAGUUGAUGAAGAUGUGGAAAAACUAGACCCCUCAGAUACUCUCAGUGGGAAUGUAGACUGGUACAAAACCUUAUAAAAACUGUUUGGUGGUUUUUCUUUCUUUCUUUUUUUCUUUCUUAAGUUUAGCAUUCAUCUGUUAUAUAAGCCAACUAUUCUACCCCUAGGUAGUUACCCAAGGGUCAAAGAGGAAAUCCCCAGUACUGUUAUUGCCGAGAAGAGGCCUUCCACUGAGGAUUUUCUGUGGCUUGUGGUGGGGAAUGAGACAUAAACACUUUUCUCUGUUUUUCCCUUGAAAUCUUUAGUAAGGUCUAUGUCAGUCACUGAUUAUUGUUUAUCAUGUCCAAAUCUUGCAAUCAUCUUGAAUAAUAAUUAUUAUUCCCCUUUUAGAGAUUAAAAAUGUACUCUACACUAAAACCAAAAUAAAACAAAUAACAACAGAAAACUUGCUAAGAAUAACACACCGGAAGAUCGCAACACUUGCCAUCUCCCCUCCAAUUAAAGUUAUGACUGCUUAUUUUUAUCUCAAUUUUUGAUCUUCAGUCUCAAGUUAAGUAUUAGUGAGAACUUAGCUAGAGUUCUCUUGGUGUAGUGGCCUAAAGAUCUGAUGUUGUCACUGCAGUGGCUUGGGUCACUGCUGUGGCAUGGGUUUGAUUCCUGAUCCAGGAACUUCCACAUGCCAUGUGCAUGGCCAAAAAGAAGAGAGGGAGGGAGGAAGAGAGAGAGGGAAUUUACUAUUGGCUAGGCCUGAGGUAAAAAAUAAGAAAAGUCAGGGGAGAAGGGAACUAAGAUACAGUGUCUACACUUCAUGCUUUAGAGAAGAUGGAGCAUAAAAAACAUACUCCUUGGGAUGUCUAUAGUGAACUUUAAGACAGAGUCCAAAGAAAUACUGAAGAAGCAUAUUGAUGAUGUGAGAGAAGAGUCUGUCCAGAGGAAAUGAUGCUUGAGCUGAGUCUUCAGAUUUAUGCACGUGUAGAAGAAAGGUAGGGAGGGACUAGAUGGUACAGUGGUGUUGACAUAAGGAAGUGCAGGUAGUUCAGCACGGCAGAAGCACAGAGCAGACAUCAGUGCGUGUGGCCCAGAGCUGAGGUCGGGUGUGACAGACAACAAGAGGGUGCAAGCUCCUGAGAAACUACUCUCAUGUCUAGCAACUAAUGGGCCUCAAAUUGGACUUUACCCACAGGAAAUUUGCAACCAUUUUUCCCUACUUAGAUGUGAUAUGGAACUCAGUACUCUGGUUUUCAUUUCUUUUUAAUAUGCUUACAGUCAUUUUUACUAAAGAACAAAUGAUUUCAUGGGGCAGGACUUCUUAGGUGGAAAAGGAUUGGUGAGCUAAUCUGAUUUCAUCCACAAUUUUACAUGUUUUUUAAGGUGAUUUGAUCACUUUCUCCAGGGAUGAGUAGCCCUUGAGGGCCUAGAGGACCACCUCACACUAAAAAUAUUUAACUAUUGAACAAACAAAUUAAAUGACAGUUUAUUCACUUAUAACACAGGAAUGCCUCUCCAUUGGCCAGAAUACAAAAUCUGGACAUGCUGAGUAAGAGCAAUAUCAUUUAGUGAAGAACUACUCCAGGAGUUCCCAUCGUGGCUCAGUGGUUAACAAAUCCGACUAGGAACCAGUUGGGGGUUCGAUCCCUGCCCUUGCUCAGUGGGUUAAGGAUCCGGCUUUGCCGUGAGCUGUGGUGUAGGUCACAGACGCGGCUCAGAUCUGGCGUUGCUGUGGCUCUGGCAUAGGCCGGUGGCUACAGCUCCGAUUCGACCCCUAGCCUGGGAACCUCCAUAUGCUGCGGGAGCAGCCCUAGAAAGGGCAAAAAGACAAAAAAACAAAAAAAGAACUACCCCAUAUUGGCAGUGGAUACUUCCUUGUAUUAUUUCAAUUAGUUGUCACCACAACUCUGUAAUGUAGUUCUUACUUUACCCCAAUUUUAUAGAUAAGGAAUUCAAAUGAGAAACCUUAAAUGAUCUAUUUUGAUCUCAUAGGUAAUAAUAUUUGGAGCUAAGACUCAAAUCUAGUGCUUUGAUUUCUUUGCCAUGCAAUGGGCAGAGUAUACCCAUGCUAGCUGGGAAAAAAUUAUGGUGAUGGUGAUUUAAUUAAAAUAAUUAUAGUUUAUUAGAUGCUUACUUUGUACCAAAUACUUUCACAUGCAUUAUCUUCGAAGUUAGUCUUUUUUAAAAAUUAAAACAAAAAAAGUUUAUGGCUGCACCUGAGCCUCAGCUGCAACCUCUGUGACAGUGCUGGAUCUUUUAACCCACUGGGCUGUGCCAGGGAUUGAAGCUGCACCUCCUGGUGACCUGAGCCUCUGCAGUCAGAUUCCUAACCCACUGUGCCACAGCAGGACCUCACAUGUGUUAUCAUAUGUAACUGUAACAAUUCUAUUUGAGAAUUCUAUUUUCUAAUUGAGAAAAGAUUUCUAUUUUAGCAAUGAGGAAACUGAUGUUCAGAAAGUUUAAAUAAUUUUUCCAGCCUGCAAAGCUGGUUAAUUGGUGGGGCAGAUAAUUCAAACCAGGUUUCUCUGACCACAAAGCGCUUUUUACAGCUAGUCAAAUAAUGAUAAGAAUACUUAAUGAAUGGAAGUCAAAAUGGAGAGAAUUUGUUAGUUGACAGAAUAUUCCAUUUAGAGUGUGGUAAAGGAUAGAAAACCACUGAAGUUUUCUCAGUAGGGUCUGAUCAUGUCUCUUCAUAGUUCAAUGCGAUGACAUUGAAUAUUUACUACUAUUAUUUUUAUUUUUACUAAUAAUUCUUAUUAGUCACAAAAAAUUUGUGUCGCUGUCUUUAUUCAUGAUAGAUAGUAUACAUUAGAACAUUCAGUUUAUGCUGUCUCACCUUUUUCUGAGGAUUAAUUUUAGGAAUAAAAAAGGACAUGAAGUGUCACAGAUCUGAGAAAAAAAUAUAAUUAUUUUUAGAUAAGAUACUUGAGCAAUCUUUCUUUACUAGUUGGUUGUGUAUCUGAUUAACUUCCAGGUCAGUGAAAUUAGAAUUUAGCCUGCAAAAUGGAUCUAUACAUCAUAGUUUUGCAAAUUUAAACUUGUAACAAUCUUGGAGCUGGAUCAAUAAACUUUAACAGAUGUUCCUCUCUGCACCUAGGCCAACUGUCUUAUCAAGACAGUGGUUUUGCUUUGUUUGUUUUGUUUUUAUAAAGAUUCUGUUUGUGGAAGCAAGAUUUGACCAGGCUUUCUUUGAAGUUAGUACCCUUGUGGCAAGUUUGAAAUAAACUUAGACCUUUGCUCAAAAAAAUCAAUGCAUCUGAGAACUUUCCUUUAACAUUCCUUUGUCUCUUAAAUCUGGGCUCCUCGAGGAGAGGUUUGUUUCUUUUCACUGUAGCCCAGUCAUCUAGUAUGAGAUUGGGUACAAAUGAAGGGCUUUCUAGAUGUCAGUUGAAUAAAUGAAUAUUUGAAAGAAUUUACCAACUAUGGACUUUGUUUCACUUUCACCUUGUUUACUUCUUUGGAAAGAUACCCCCAGCGAGAUUUUUCAUCUUUUUAUUUUAUUCCUUUGCAAAAAAGGUUCUCUAGGGACCUCUUCACUGGAUCUCUCUCAGUCAUGUCCUUUCCUGCCUGGCUUGGAAUUUUUUUGGCUCUGGAUUUCCUCACCAGUCUGGGCUACACCCUCACUGCCCCCCUCCCCUCCUUAAGUCACGUCAUAUUUGAGGACAGAAUUUCCAAACCACCUUCUCCUAGGCAUGUUUUUCCCCCUUUAAACUUGAAAAAGAGGAGAAAAGUUAGGCAACUUAGACAAUAUUUCAAACAAAAGAGAAGUAGUGGAAGGUUGAGAAAAGGUCAGUACGGUUAGUUAGUGAGAAGAGUCUGACUCAUUAAAAAAAAACAAACCACAGUAACUGACAAAAAACCUAUCAGACAGAAAAUCAUGAGAAGGUUUUGAGUGGCUGGCUAAGGCAAUACCAAAGCUCUAAGUGUUGAGAAUGGGAAGUUAAUCAGAAAAGACUACUUAGGAGGUGGAGAAAUUUUCAUGGCUCCCAGAGGGAGGUCUGUGCCUGGCUUUGCCCUGGCUGGCUAUGUGACUUUUCUGUGCAAAUGACCCUCAUUUUCUAAAUAAGGAUAUUGGACCAAAUGAUGUAUAAGAUCUUUUCCAAUUCUAACAUUUUAUGGAGGACUAGACUUUUCUAACAGAUUAAAUGGAUUCUUAUGCUUUAAGUCUCAUAUUUAUUUUUAGUCUCAUAUAAUUUGAUUCCUUUUUAUAAUUUCUUCAUUAUUUAAUCCACAGUUAUUGAGUGGCUGCCUACUAUUUGAACAGCAUUUUAGGCAGCAAGUUGGGUGAGAUAAAAAUCACUGCCGUCUACCACCUUAUAGGUUUGGGUGGCCGUAGCUUUACAAACAGCAAAAAGGCAAUUGGAGCAGAAGCAAUGGCUGAGGGAGGCGGGGAGGGAGGAAUGGAGGUGACAUGAAAAGGACAAGGGCAAGAGAACACAUUUUAUAAUUUCCUAAAAUACAGAUAAGGCUGCCACUUAAAAAAAACAAACAGUAAAAUUGGUUAUGAUUUUUACAUUUAAUCCUUUGUUUUCUGAGGAUGCUUAGUGCUGACCGUGUGAUUGUGGCUACUCAGAGGUUUAAUGCGGGAUUCACUGGACUUUCCACACCACCUAUAAAGAGGGUGGUUGAUUUUUAGUUUUAUUGGUGUGUCACUACCUAGCCUGGUCUAUAGAUUUGUGUUAACUGUGCAAUAGCUGCUUGUAGAUCUUAGCGGUUGCUCAGUGAUUCCUCAUAAAGCUUGAUGCUGACAUGAAAAUUCAAAUUACAGAUGGCAAUCCAGAGAAUAAAAGAGCCUAGAAAUGGCUGGGGGCCUGCAAGUGGGCAUAAAUGUGUGAAGCAGUGGACACAUCACACCAGCUAGUGGUUUGGUUAGCAUUUAGCCAGAAAGAGAUACCCCACCCCCAAAUGUUCAAAUUUUUCUUUCUCUGUCCAUCUGCCCCGUUUGCAUUGUAUGCCUGAAAACAGCACAGUCUAAGUCUCAGUUUGAAAUCUCUAGGAGUUCCCAUUGUGGCUCAGCAGGUUACAAACCCGACUAGUACCCACAAGGAUGUGGGUUUGAUCCCUGGCCUCCCUCAGUGGGUUAAGGAUCCUCUGUUGCUGUGAGCUGUGGUGUAUGUUGCAGAUUUAGCUUAGAUCCCAUGUUGCUGUGGUUGUAGCAGAGGCCAGUAGCUGCAGGUCUGAUUCAACCCCUAGCCUGGGAAUUUCCAUAUGCCAUAUGUGCAGCCCUAAAAAGUGAAAGAAA